AAGGUUUCCGUAGGUGAACCUGCGGAAGGAUCAUUAAAGAGACGUUGCCCUUCGGGGUAUACCUCCCACCCAUUGUUUAUUUACCUUUGUUGCUUUGGCAGACCCGGCUUCGGCCCACCGGCUCCGGCUGGUCAGCGUCUGCCAGAGGAUACCAAAACUCUGUUUGUUAAUAUUGUCUGAGUACUAUAUAAUAGUUAAAACUUUCAACAACGGAUCUCUUGGUUCUGGCAUCGAUGAAGAACGCAGCGAAAUGCGAUAAGUAAUGUGAAUUGCAGAAUUCAGUGAAUCAUCGAAUCUUUGAACGCACAUUGCGCCCUCUGGUAUUCCGGGGGGCAUGCCUGUUCGAGCGUCAUUACAACCCUCAAGCUCUGCUUGGUAUUGGGCCCUGCUGAGUUUCGGCAGGCCUUAAAAUCAGUGGCGGUGCCAUUCGGCUUCAAGCGUAGUAAUUUUUCUCGCUUCGGAGAUCCGGGUGUGUGCUUGCCAGCAACCCCCAAUUUUUUCAGGUUGACCUCGGAUCAGGUAGGGAUACCCGCUGAACUUAAGCAUACA
rnacentral:rRNA from 1 species